AUUGAACGCUGGCGGCAUGCUUUACACAUGCAAGUCGAACGGCAGCGCGGGCUUCGGCCUGGCGGCGAGUGGCGAACGGGUGAGUAAUACAUCGGAACGUGCCCAGUUGUGGGGGAUAGCUCGGCGAAAGCCGGAUUAAUACCGCAUACGACCUGAGGGUGAAAGCGGGGGAUCUUCGGACCUCGCGCUAUUGGAGCGGCCGAUGGCAGAUUAGCUAGUUGGUGGGGUAAAGGCCUACCAAGGCGACGAUCCGUAGCUGGUCUGAGAGGACGACCAGCCACACUGGGACUGAGACACGGCCCAGACUCCUACGGGAGGCAGCAGUGGGGAAUUUUGGACAAUGGGCGAAAGCCUGAUCCAGCAAUGCCGCGUGUGUGAUGAAGGCCUUCGGGUUGUAAAGCACUUUUGGCGGGAACGAAAAGGACUGUGCCAAUACCACGGUUCGAUGACGGUACCCGCAGAAUAAGCACCGGCUAACUACGUG
rnacentral:rRNA from 1 species